rnacentral:rRNA from 1 species
AGCAGCCGUGGUAAUUCCAGCUCCAAUAGCAUAUAUUAAAGUUGCUGCAGUUAAAAAGCUCGUAGUUGAAUUUCGGGACCAAUAUGUCGGUCGUGCUUCGGUACGUACUGUCAUAAUUGGUUUCUCCCUUCUGAAGAACCUUGAUGUCAUUAAUUUGGUGUCUUGGGGAAUCAGGACUGUUACUUUGAAAAAAUUAGAGUGUUUAAAGCAGGCUCGCGCUUGAAUACAUUAGCAUGGAAUAAUGAAAUAGGACGUUUGAUUCUAUUUUGUUGGUUUCUAGGAUCGACAUAAUGAUUAAUAGGGAUAGUUGGGGGCAUUAGUAUUCAAUUGUCAGAGGUGAAAUUCUUGGAUUUAUUGAAGACUAACUACUGCGAAAGCAUUUGCCAAGGAUGUUUUCAUUAAUCAAGAACGAAAGUUAGGGGAUCGAAGACGAUCAGAUACCGUCGUAGUCUUAACCAUAAACUAUGCCAACUAGGGAUCGGAUGAUGUUAAUUUUUUAAUGACUCA